UACAGAGGUCUCAAGCGUUGUUCGGAUUUAUUGGGCGUAAAGAGCUCGUAGGCGGUUUGUCGCGUCUGCUGUGAAAACCUAAGGCUCAACCUUGGGCUUGCAGUGGGUACGGGCAGACUAGAGUGCGGUAGGGGUGACUGGAAUUCCUGGUGUAGCGGUGAAAUGCGUAGAUAUCAAGAGGAACACCUGCGGCGAAGGCGGGUUGCUGGGCCGACACUGACGCUGAAGUGCGAAAGCCAGGGGAGCGAACGGG
rnacentral:rRNA from 1 species